rnacentral:rRNA from 1 species
AUUGAACGCUGGCGGCAGGCCUAACACAUGCAAGUCGAGCGAGCGGCGGACGGGUGAGUAAUGUAUGGGGACUGCCCGAUAGAGGGGGAUAACUACUGGCAACGGUGGCUAAUACCGCAUACUAACGGCUAACACAUAUGGGAUUAGCUAGUAGGUGUGGUAAAGGCUCACAUAGGGGACUAUCUCUAGCUGGUAGGAGUGGAUGAUCAGCCACACUGGGACUGAGACACGGCCCAGACUCCGACGGAGGCAGCAGUGGGGAAUAUUGCACAAUGGGCGCAAGCCUCAUGCAGCCAUGCCGCGUGUAUGAAGAAGGCCUUAGGGUUGUAAAGUACUUUCAGCUGGGAGGCGUUACCCGCAGAAGAAGCACCGGCUAACUCCGUGCCAGCAGCCGCGGUAAUAC